AUUGAACGCUGGCGGCAUGCCUUACACAUGCAAGUCGAACGGCAGCACGGGAGCUUGCUCCUGGUGGCAAGUGGCGAACGGGUGAGUAAUACAUCGGAACGUACCCUGAAGUGGGGGAUAACGUAGCGAAAGUUACGCUAAUACCGCAUAUUCUGUGAGCAGGAAAGAGGGGGAUCGCAAGACCUCUUGCUUUAGGAGCGGCCGAUGUCGGAUUAGCUAGUUGGUGAGGUAAAGGCUCACCAAGGCGACGAUCCGUAGCGGGUCUGAGAGGAUGAUCCGCCACACUGGGACUGAGACACGGCCCAGACUCCUACGGGAGGCAGCAGUGGGGAAUUUUGGACAAUGGGCGCAAGCCUGAUCCAGCCAUGCCGCGUGAGUGAAGAAGGCCUUCGGUUGUUAAAGCUCUUUCGGUGGGUAGGAAAGUUAGCUUCGGGUUAAUACCUGGAGUAGAUAACGGUACCCG
rnacentral:rRNA from 1 species